UAAUCAAUUAAUUUUCUAAAUUAGUGCUAAUUAAUGCAUAAAUUUAGGACCUCAAUUAAAAGUUUCUUUAAAUAUUGUAUUAUUUAAUUACCAAACUAAUCUUGAAUAAAAUAAUUUUUUUACCUGCUAAGUAUUAAUGUUAUAUUUUUAUCCUCUAUUAAUCAAUGGUUAAGAUCUUUUUUAUUUUUUUUAAAAAAAAGUACCGAAUCAUUUCUCUUCUCUUUAUGUAUUGGAUUAUUUCUCUACAUACUGUUCAUGAUAUAUAAAUAUUGUAGAGAGAAGUAAAAGAGAUGAAAUUUUAUUUUGUUUAAUAUUUUUAUCAUCGGGUGUUGAAAGAGUCUUCGUCAACCUCUUCCGCGUUCGUGCUCGUAGGAGGAGGAAUUCCGGUCGUACCUUGGGGCGGUGUUUCCGGUUAAUCCCGCACGUAAGGACGGAAAUACACCUUAGGGCAGUGCCUCGCACGCUUCCGGAUCGAUUAAAUUUUCUAUUUGGAUUUAGCAAUUAUUUGUAAGUUGAUUUGUUUAUUUUCAUAACAAAAUUUAGUUAGUUUUGAAUCACAAUCAGAUUAUUCGUUGCGGUAUUUGUUCUAACAGAUCAAUCGUGUUAUUUUACCCCUCGAAGCUCU
rnacentral:lncRNA from 1 species